rfam:Flavobacterium haoranii strain DSM 22807 genome assembly, contig: Ga0131240_101
UUUCAGCCCCGAUGGUAAUGACAUCCUUUUUUUAGCCUAAAAAAAGCUCUUAAAACAAAAUGUCUAGUUCUAAAACUGUCGUUUAACCCCAAAAAAAAGACCAAAUAAAAAAAGAUAUAAUGAACAGCGGGUAAAAUU